GACGAACGCUGGCGGCGUGCUUAAAACAUGCAAGUCGAACGGACUUCUCAUGAAGCUUGCGAUUGAGAAGUUAGUGGCGGACGGGUGAGUAACGCGUGGGCAACCUGCCCCUGAGCCCGGGAUAACAGUUCGAAAGGACUGCUAAGACCGGAUAUACUUGCGGGGAAGCAUUUCACUGCAAGGAAAGGGAACGCUCAGGGAUGGGCCCGCGUCCCAUUAGCUAGUUGGUGAGGUAACGGCCCACCAAGGCGACGAUGGGUAGCCGGCCUGAGAGGGUGAACGGCCACACUGGGACUGAGACACGGCCCAGACUCCUACGGGAGGCAGCAGUUGGGAAUCUUCGGCAAUGGGCGCAAGCCUGACCGAGCAACGCCGCGUGAGUGAUGAAGGUUUUCGGAUUGUAAAGCUCUGUCUUCCGGGACGAUAAUGACGGUACCGGAGGAGGAAGCCACGGCUAACUCCGUG
rnacentral:rRNA from 1 species